rnacentral:ncRNA from 1 species
CAAAGGCUUGGUCCUGACUUUACUAUCAAUUCUAGCUAAACUUACACAUGCAAGUAUCCGCAUCCCCGUGAGAAUGCCCUACAGUUCCCUGCCCGGGAACAAGGAGCUGGUAUCAGGCACAUCCCUACUUAGCCCAUGACGCCUUGCUUAGCCACACCCUCAAGGGAACUCAGCAGUGAUAAACAUUAAGCCAUGAGUGAAAACUUGACUUAGUCAAAGCUAAGAGGGCCGGUAAAACUCGUGCCAGCCACCGCGGUUAUACGAGAGGCCCAAGUUGAUAGCCAUCGGCGUAAAGCGUGGUUAAGAUAAAGACUAAAACUAAAGCCGAACACCCUCAGAGCUGUUAUACGCACCCGAAGGUAAGAAGUUCAAUCACGAAAGUGGCUUUAUAGACCCCGAACCCACGAAAGCUACGAUACAAACUGGGAUUAGAUACCCCACUAUGCCUAGCCAUAAACAUUGGUAGUACAUUACAUCCACUACCCGCCUGGGAACUACGAGCAUUAGCUUGAAACCCAAAGGACUUGGCGGUGCUUUAGAUCCCCCUAGAGGAGCCUGUUCUAGAACCGAUAACCCCCGUUCAACCUCACCUUUCCUUGUUUACCCCGCCUAUAUACCGCCGUCGUCAGCUCACCCUGUGAAGGUUUAAUAGUGAGCAAAAUUGGUACAACCCAAAACGUCAGGUCGAGGUGUAGCGUAUGGAAAGGGAAGAAAUGGGCUACAUUUCCUACUUUCAGGAAAUACGAACGAUGUACUGAAAUGUAUGUCCGAAGGAGGAUUUAGCAGUAAGCAGGAAAUAGAGCGUCCUGCUGAAAUUGGCUCUGAAGCGCGUACACACCGCCCGUCACUCUCCCCAAGCCUACCAAACUAAAAUAAUUAAAACCUUAUAAUAGCGAAGGGGAGGCAAGUCGUAACAUGGUAAGUGUACCGGAAGGUGCACUUGGAAAAAU